rnacentral:rRNA from 1 species
UGAACGCUGGCGGCGUGCCUAAUACAUGCAAGUCGAGCGAACGGACGAGAAGCUUGCUUCUCUGAUGUUAGCGGCGGACGGGUGAGUAACACGUGGAUAACCUACCUAUAAGACUGGGAUAACUUCGGGAAACCGGAGCUAAUACCGGAUGAUAUUUUGAACCGCAUGGUUCAAAAGUGAAAGACGGUCUUGCUGUCACUUAUAGAUGGAUCCGCGCUGCAUUAGCUAGUUGGUAAGGUAACGGCUUACCAAGGCAACGAUGCAUAGCCGACCUGAGAGGGUGAUAGGCCACACUGGAACUGAGACACGGUCCAGACUCCUACGGGAGGCAGCAGUAGGGAAUCUUCCGCAAUGGGCGAAAGCCUGACGGAGCAACGCCGCGUGAGUGAUGAAGGUCUUCGGAUCGUAAAACUCUGUUAUUAGGGAAGAACAUAUGUGUAAGUAACUGUGCACAUCUUGACGGUACCUAAUCAGAAAGCCACGGCUAACUACGUG